rnacentral:rRNA from 1 species
AGUGAACGCUGGCGGUAGGCCUAACACAUGCAAGUCGAACGGCAGCACAGUAAGAGCUUGCUCUUACGGGUGGCGAGUGGCGGACGGGUGAGGAAUACAUCGGAAUCUACUUUUUCGUGGGGGAUAACGUAGGGAAACUUACGCUAAUACCGCAUACGACCUACGGGUGAAAGCAGGGGAUCUUCGGACCUUGCGCGAUUGAAUGAGCCGAUGUCGGAUUAGCUAGUUGGCGGGGUAAAGGCCCACCAAGGCGACGAUCCGUAGCUGGUCUGAGAGGAUGAUCCGCCACACUGGAACUGAGGCACGGUCCAGACUCCUACGGGAGGCAGCAGUGGGGAAUAUUGGACAAUGGGCGCAAGCCUGAUCCAGCCAUACCGCGUGGGUGAAGAAGGCCUUCGGGUUGUAAAGCCCUUUUGUUGGGAAAGAAAAGCAGCAGGUUAAUACCCCGCUGUUCUGACGGUACCCAAAGAAUAAGCACCGGCUAACUUCGUG